rnacentral:rRNA from 1 species
UACGAAGGUGGCAAGCGUUACUCGGAAUUACUAGGCGUAAAGGGCAGGUAGGUGGUUUGAUAAGUCUGUUGUGAAAGCUCCCGGCUUAACUGGGAGAGGUCAACAGAAACUAUCAGACUUGAGUAUAGGAGAGGGUACUGGAAUUCCCGGUGUAGCGGUGAAAUGCGCAGAGAUCGGGAGGAACACCAAUGGCGAAAGCAGGUACCUGGACUAUUACUGACACUCAGCUGCGAAAGCUAGGGGAGCAAACAGG